CCUACGGGAGGCUGCAGUGGGGAAUAUUGGGCAAUGGGCGCAAGCCUGACCCAGCCACGCCGCGUGAAGGAAGAAGGCCCUCGGGUUGUAAACUUCCUUUUAGAGGGAAGAGCAGAAGACGGUACCUGACUAAGAAGCCCCGGCUAACUACGGGCCAGCAGCCGCGGUAAUACGGAGGGGGCAAGCGUUAUCCGGAUUUACUGGGUGUAAAGGGAGCGUAGACGGCGGUGCAAGCCAGAUGUGAAAGCUUGGGGCUCAACCCCAGGACUGCAUUUGGCACUGUUGACCUUGAGUACAGGAGAGGUAAGCGGAAUUCGUGGUGUAGCGGUGAAAUGCGUAGAUAUUAGGAAGAACUCCGGUGGCGAAGGCAGCUUACUGGACUGUAACUGACGUUGAGGCUCGAAAGCGUGGGGAUCAAACAGGAUUAGAUACCCGGGUAGUC
rnacentral:rRNA from 1 species